UAAUCAUUAGUCAUUUAAUUGAUGACUUGUAUGAAGGAUUGGAUGAAAUAUAAACUGUCUCUUAAUUAUCUAUAUAAUUUAAUUUUUUAAUUAAAAAGUUAAAAUAAAUUAAAAAGACGAGAAGACCCUAUAGAGUUUUAUAAAUAAAUUAAUUAAGGUUAUUUAUUAAGUUAAAAUUAAAAUUAUAUUUUUUUAUUUUAUUGGGGUGAUAGAAAAAUAAGUUUAACUUUUUUUAUAUGUUUACAUUUAUAGGUGAAUAGAUGAUCCAGUAUUAUUGAUUAAAAGAAAAAAUUACCUUAGGGAUAACAGCGUAAUUUUUUUUUUUAGUUCAUAUAAGAAAAAAAGUUUGCGACCUCGAUGUUGGAUUAAGAUAAAAUUUAAAUGUAGAAG
rnacentral:rRNA from 1 species